rnacentral:rRNA from 1 species
AACGUAGGUGGCAAGCGUUGUCCGGAAUUACUGGGUGUAAAGGGAGUGCAGGCGGGACGGCAAGUUGGAAGUGAAACCCAUGGGCUUAACCCAUGAACUGCUUUCAAAACUGUCGUUCUUGAGUGGUGCAGAGGUAGGCGGAAUUCCCGGUGUAGCGGUGGAAUGCGUAGAUAUCGGGAGGAACACCAGUGGCGAAGGCGGCCUACUGGGCACUAACUGACGCUGAGGCUCGAAAGCAUGGGUAGCAAACAGG